AUUGAACGCUGGCGGCAUGCCUUACACAUGCAAGUCGAACGGCAGCACGGGAGCAAUCCUGGUGGCGAGUGGCGAACGGGUGAGUAAAGUAUCGGAACGUGCCCAGUCGUGGGGGAUAACGUAGCGAAAGUUACGCUAAUACCGCAUACGAUCUAUGGAUGAAAGCGGGGGAUCGCAAGACCUCGCGCGAUUGGAGCGGCCGAUAUCAGAUUAGGUAGUUGGUGGGGUAAAGGCUCACCAAGCCGACGAUCUGUAGCUGGUCUGAGAGGACGCCCAGCCAAACUGGGACUGAGACACGGCCCAGACUCCUACGGGAGGCAGCAGUGGGGAAUUGUGGACAAUGGGCGAAAGCCUGAUCCAGCCAUGCCGCGUGCAGGAUGAAGGCCUUCGGGUUGUAAACUGCUUUUGUACGGAACGAAAAGGUUUGGCCUAAUAAGCUGAGCUCAUGACGGUACCGUAAGAAUAAGCACCGGCUAACUACGUGCCAGCCGCCGCGGUAA
rnacentral:rRNA from 1 species